CCUCCCUCUCAAAAAGAAAUAUUCGCUUCUGAAAGGUUCCAUUCCUCCAUAUUAUAUGUUUAUGUUAAAUCAUUAUUUCAUAGUUUAUUUCACAAAACAUGGUUAUUUUGAAAUAGAAGUUUCCGUAUGAUCCAAGUCAAGGUCGCUUUCUUUCCUCUAGAAUGUAUUAAAAAAAAAAGUAAAAAAAUAAAAAAACGAAUCCCUUUAAUACGAUUAGGAAGGCAAUGUCCGCGUGGGAUAGCACACUCGACAGAGACACGAAUAAAGUAGGUCAAAACUCAAAAAUAUGAUAUGAGUGGGUCCCACGUACCACGUGUGAAGCAACCCGAUGGAGCAACGGCUGAUGACACAAUGCAUGCACAUAGCGAGAGGAGGAGAGACAUCCAAUGACCAAGACGUGUCUUGUUUGGUGAACAAAAGGGAGCAGACCCAGCGUUUGGUAACCACAUAUUUAGACACGUGCUACAAUUCUGGGUUCUGGGACUCUUUCUAUAAUUGAAAAUGACCUAAAAAAGAAAGACCCGAAAAUGUGCGUUGUGUUUCACGGUUUGGGAUGAAUCAUGAUUGGUAC
rnacentral:lncRNA from 1 species